UUGAACGCCGGCGGCAGGCCUAACCCAUGCAAGUCGAGCGGAUGAAGGGAGCUUGCUCCUGGAUUCAGCGGCGGACGGGUGAGUAAUGCCUAGGAAUCUGCCUGGUAGUGGGGGAUAACGUCCGGAAACGGGCGCUAAUACCGCAUACGUCCUGAGGGAGAAAGUGGGGGAUCUUCGGACCUCACGCUAUCAGAUGAGCCUAGGUCGGAUUAGCUAGUUGGUGGGGUAAAGGCCUACCAAGGCGACGAUCCGUAACUGGUCUGAGAGGAUGAUCAGUCACACUGGAACUGAGACACGGUCCAGACUCCUACGGGAGGCAGCAGUGGGGAAUAUUGGACAAUGGGCGAAAGCCUGAUCCAGCCAUGCCGCGUGUGUGAAGAAGGUCUUCGGAUUGUAAAGCACUUUAAGUUGGGAGGAAGGGCAGUAAGUUAAUACCUUGCUGUUUUGACGUUACCAACAGAAUAAGCACCGGCUAACUUCGUG
rnacentral:rRNA from 1 species